CUUGUACUCCCUCCGUCCGAAAAUACUUGUCCUAGAAAUGGAUAAAAAGGAUGUAUCUAUAACUAAAAUAAGUCUAGAUACAACCAUUUCUAGGAUAAGUAUUUUCGGAGGGAGGGAGUAGCUA
rfam:Triticum aestivum genome assembly, contig: Triticum_aestivum_CS42_TGACv1_scaffold_050012_1BS